UACGUAGGGGGCAAGCGUUGUCCGGAUUUAUUGGGCGUAAAGAGCGUGUAGGCGGUCAGGCAGGUCUGCUGUGAAAACUCGAGGCUUAACCUCGAGCUGUCGGCGGAAACCAUCUGGCUAGAGUCCGGAAGAGGAGAAUGGAAUUCCCGGUGUAGCGGUGAAAUGCGCAGAUAUCGGGAAGAACACCCGUGGCGAAGGCGGUUCUCUGGGACGGUACUGACGCUGAGACGCGAAAGCGUGGGGAGCGAACAGG
rnacentral:rRNA from 1 species